GGGGGCGUAGCUCAGCCGGUAGAGCAACAGCCUUUUAAGCUGUGGGUCGCGGGUUCGAAUCCCGCCGCCCUCA
rnacentral:tRNA from 1 species